rnacentral:ncRNA from 1 species
UGGGGUGAUGAUUAAAAGGGAAUCAGGUGAGAAUCCUGAACAGUCCCGCUGCUGUAUGUUUCACUAAACGCGUAAGCAAACACCAUUAACCACUGGGAUAACACCCGGGAAGGUGCUUAUAGCGGAAACAAGUCAGAAGACCUGCCUAUGUAUUU